rnacentral:rRNA from 1 species
CUCUUCCCAUUCCGAACAGAGAAGUUAAGCCCAUUAGCGCCGAUGGUACUACGAAAGUGGGAGAGUAGGUCGCCGCCAACU